rnacentral:rRNA from 1 species
UACGAAGGGGGCUAGCGUUGUUCGGAAUUACUGGGCGUAAAGCGCGCGCAGGUGGUCUUUCAAGCCAGUGGUGAAAGCCCGGAGCUCAACUCCGGAAAUGCCAUUGAAACUGUGAGACUUGAGGAUGAGAGAGGUGAGUGGAAUUCCCAGUGUAGAGGUGAAAUUCGUAGAUAUUGGGAAGAACACCGGUGGCGAAGGCGGCUCACUGGCUCAUAUCUGACGCUCAGGCGCGACAGCGUGGGGAUCAAACAGG